AUUGAACGCUGGCGGCAUGCCUUACACAUGCAAGUCGAACGGCAGCACGGGUGCUUGCACCUGGUGGCGAGUGGCGAACGGGUGAGUAAUACAUCGGAACAUGUCCUGUAGUGGGGGAUAGCCCGGCGAAAGCCGGAUUAAUACCGCAUACGAUCUACGGAUGAAAGCGGGGGACCUGCGGGCCUCGCGCUAUAGGGUUGGCCGAUGGCUGAUUAGCUAGUUGGUGGGGGAAAGGCCUACCAAGGCGACGAUCAGUAGCUGGUCUGAGAGGACGACCAGCCACACUGGGACUGAGACACGGCCCAGACUCCUACGGGAGGCAGCAGUGGGGAAUUUUGGACAAUGGGCGAAAGCCUGAUCCAGCAAUGCCGCGUGUGUGAAGAAGGCCUUCGGGUUGUAAAGCACUUUUGUCCGGAAAGAAAUCCUUGGCCCUAAUACGGUCGGGGGAUGACGGUACCGGAAGAAUAAGCACCGGCUAACUACGUG
rnacentral:rRNA from 1 species